GUUCCCUUGACCACUUCAUGAGGGAUUAAUUUCUUCAUUUUUGUUGCCCUGCUGAAGUGUUUGGGGGAACUC